UACGUAGGCAGCGAGCGUUGUUCGGAUUUACUGGGCGUAAAGGGUGUGUAGGCGGUUGUUUAAGUUUGGUGUGAAAUCUCCCGGCUCAACUGGGAGGGUGCGCCGGAAACUGGAGUGCUUGAGCGUGGGAGAGGAAAGCGGAAUUCCUGGUGUAGCGGUGAAAUGCGUAGAUAUCAGGAGGAACACCUGUGGUGUAGACGGCUUUCUGGACCAUAGCUGACGCUGAGACACGAAAGCGUGGGUAGCAAACAGG
rnacentral:rRNA from 1 species